AUUCUGAGCCGCACAUAAAAAAAAAUCAAGGAAGGAAACCUGCCCUGGUGCCUUCUGUGAUCUUGCUGAGUUUGUUUUAAGCUACAAACCAAUGCAAAACUUGAUCUUUUAAAAAGCUCUCUUUAAAAAGGCUUGCAAAGAACUGUCUCAGCAGAGGAACUAUAAGAAAAAAUACAUUAUUUGAACAGCUGAAGAUCAAUUCAGAGACUUUACGAUGGGAAUAUUCUGACCUCCAGACACUCUAUAUUGACAGCUAUGAUGAACAGCUACACAAAUUCCUGAAUUAUGACACUUUAUUGUCUAAGGCAGAAAAGCAAAUGGCACUCCUAACCUCUAUAUAAGAUAUCACCAGUAGCAUAAGAGAGCUUGAAGGUCUUCCUAGCCGAACACUAUAGAACCUACACAGACUAUCCCUUCCUCCCACUUUCCAGAUGAGAACAAUGUUGAGCUCUUGC